AAAGAUAUUCAGACCACAAAUAGAUAAGAUAAAAAAAAAAAACCAGUCUAGCAAGAUUGAGCUAGAAAAUAUUGUGUCUCUCUCCCUCUUUCUAUUACAACUCUGUGAAGUUCUUGUCUCAGCUAAUCGAUCUGUUAAAUAUAUGCCCAGAUCAGCUCAUGUACAUGUUUAAUCAGUUGUUUUAAAGUUAGAUUAUAUAUAUUUUGUCGCAUGCAAUCUUAUUUUGAGUUUGAAUCUGAUAAUUUUAUUUUGACGGGAAAGUCAGAUAUGACAAACCUCUGUUUCUUCCGAUGACAGAUCUUAGUGAAGCUGAUCUCAAUAGAGAUUAUAUACAUGUCUGAAGUAUAUUUGAGCGUCAGAGAGAGAGAGAGAAACUAAACUAAUGGAAGAGACAAUGAAGAAUAAGAAGAAGAACGAUGGUUCCAAAAAGAAGGAGCGUCAUAUUGUCACUUGGUCUCAAGAGUUUGGAAGAUGCCUAGGUAUGAUGAUCGCUACGGGAACACUCGUCUUUACGUUGGACACGUAUCAUCCAGAACUCGUACCAGAGACCUUGAACGCCUUUUCAACAGAUAUGGAAGGUAACUGAGUUUCUUCUCGUUCUACCAAAAUGAUUAUGUUGAUAUCUGUAGUGUCUUUUUCUUUGAACGCAUAAACUGAUUAUGUUGAUAUCUGUAGUGUCUUUUUCUUUGUACACCUCUCUUCUCUUCUUCUAAUCCCCAUUUCUUUUUUUUCCAGAGCACAACUAAUCUCUCUUGGUUUCUCACUUACUUACUCUGAAUUUUUGAAUUAGCUUAGAUCCCUAAAGUCGAUAUCUUUGGAUCAGUUUCCAAAUGGAUAAUCAUUCUUUGCCGCUGUUAAAUCUAGCAACACCGGACUUGCGUUUUCAUCUUUGGCAGCUGGAGGAGGAGGCAAACCUGAUGCUGCGUUGGUCAUGGAUUGGUCUGUUGAAGAGCAUUAUGUAUUAGAGAACGGCCUUGCAAAGUAGGUAUCUUCUUUCUUAUGUUCUUCUUCAACGUUGAGCAAGGCAGCAGCACUAUCAGGAACAACUCCGAUUGCAAUCCAGUCAAGUAACAUAAAGUUAGACGGAGUGAUAUCAGUGCCAUAGAUGAAAUUGAUCUUGUAUUGAUGAUUGGUUGGUCUGUAGGUCACACCGGGGUUAUUGAUGGAGAAAUUUUCAAUGCUUCUCCAUGAUCCAACAGGUAUGGAGCACCUUAACUUCAACACGCCAUUCGGACUUGUAUGGUAGGAUGGCAGCCAAAGGCGUGAGUUCCAUGCUUAAAGGUAACUGCUGAAUUAGAUUAAGUUUGUAAACUCAGAUUUUAGGAAGCGUGUUAAGAGUAGAUGGUAGGAACAAUAUUUAUAAAAGAGGGAUGGCGAUGGAAAUGAUUAGGGAGAAGGAUAAAAUAUUGUUUUUUAGUUAAAAAAAUUGUUGCAAAAUAUGAAGGCAUAUUUUACGGGAUUAAAGAGUUAGAUAUCAAAAUUUUCGAAAUUCAGUUUAGAUAUAUUGUUGUUCGCAUCAAGUUUUAAUUUUAGUAUUUUUUAAUUAAACAAUAACUUUAUUCUAAA